UACGUAGGGUGCGAGCGUUGUCCGGAAUUAUUGGGCGUAAAGAGCUCGUAGGCGGUUUGUCGCGUCGGCCGUGAAAACUUGGGGCUUAACUCCAAGCUUGCGGUCGAUACGGGGCAGACUUGAGUUCGGCAGGGGAGACUGGAAUUCCUGGUGUAGCGGUGAAAUGCGCAGAUAUCGGAAGGAACAUCAGUGGCGAAAGCGACUCCUGGACCAGUACCGACGUCAGGCACGAAGCGUGGGGAGCAAACAGG
rnacentral:rRNA from 1 species